rnacentral:rRNA from 1 species
GUGGGGAAUAUUGGACAAUGGGCGAAAGCCUGAUCCAGCAAUGCCGCGUGAGUGAUGAAGGCCUUAGGGUUGUAAAGCUCUUUUACCAGGGAUGAUAAUGACAGUACCUGGAGAAUAAGCUCCGGCUAACUCCGUGCCAGCAGCCGCGGUAAUACGGAGGGAGCUAGCGUUGUUCGGAAUUACUGGGCGUAAAGCGCACGUAGGCGGCUACUCAAGUCAGAGGUGAAAGCCCGGGGCUCAACCCCGGAACUGCCUUUGAAACUAGGUAGCUAGAAUCUUGGAGAGGUCAGUGGAAUUCCGAGUGUAGAGGUGAAAUUCGUAGAUAUUCGGAAGAACACCAGUGGCGAAGGCGACUGACUGGACAAGUAUUGACGCUGAGGUGCGAAAGCGUGGGGAGCAAACAGGAUUAGAAACCCGGGUAGUCC